UGUCGUACGGGGACCAGUCCGAGUUAGUCUUUGCUGGUGAUCGCACGUUCCACGUCGCUUCCAAUUGUUUCCGACCGAAUUGGAGUCUGUUUUUCUGGAUUGAAAACUGUGGGGCAGAGAUCCGGCACAGGUCCUCGGCGCUGGACGGUAUUUAAUUCUCGGUUUACCCGGUUUUCGGGUCUAAGGGCGUCUCAAGUGGUAGCACGGACCGUGGUUUUUACGAUCCAACCGACUUCAGGUAUUCUGUUCGUCCGUUAUCAUGGAUCGAGCACUUCCGAAUCCGGAAUACUUCAGGAAGGAUUAGCUGGAGUACGAGGUCAUCAUAUUCAAGGGCGUACACACAACAGUUGAAGGUCACCAACCAUCGAAAUAUUUACGUGAAUUAGCUGGCAGCGAGAUUCACAUCUCGGCCUUAGACUCCGUCGAACCAAUGGGCAUCUGCUUCAUCUGCUUUUUCUCCCGAAGAGCUCCAGUGCACGCCAGUGACUUUCUUCGGAACCUCGGCAUUAUCGUCGAUGCGUGUUCAAGGACCUAUACCACACAGAUCACUCUUCCAGUGAGGCAGAGAACCGACACAGGUCCUCGGUGGUGGACGGUAUUAUAGCAUCCGCUGAAGAAUCAAGCAUUAAAGCACCCAUAUGGAGUGUAGGGCUAGAAUCUUAGGAAUUGUAAAAUAAGUAAUGUAGGCUUCGGAUUGAAAGUCUCCUGACGAUGUCUCAUCAUUGAACAAAGGUUAUACAAAUAUUGUAGUCGUCCGAA